CCCUUAGAUGUUCUGGGCCGCACGCGCGCUACACUGAGGGAAUCAGCGUGCUAGAAAACCUUGUUUGACAUGGCUAGGUAACCCGUUGAAAAUCUUUCGUGAUUGGGAUCGGGACUUGCAAAUGUGUCCCUUGAACGAGGAAUUCCCAGUAAGUGCGGGUCAUAAGCUCGCGCUGAUUACGUCCCUGCCCUUUGUACACACCGCCCGUCGCUCCUACCGAUUGAAUGUUCCGGUGAGCUCUUCGGACUGCGCGGUCUGCAGUUUCUGCGUUCCGUGCGGAAAGUUGUGCAAACCUUAACAUUUAGAGGAAGGAGAAGUCGUAACA
rnacentral:rRNA from 1 species